UAAGUGGACAACACAACCUAUUUCAGUUC
rnacentral:piRNA from 1 species